UCACAGGUGAGGUGGGUUCAAGUACGGUGACACAGGUGUUGGUGAGUUAGUGGAAAAUGGAGCACAUGGGUGAAAGGCACACAGUUUUUACUGUGAUAGUAAUUUUUGGAGCAUUUGAAUUUUUUCUCUUUAUUUUGUAAUUGAUUCCACCAACAAUUCAUCCUCAUCAAUAUGAUCAAGCUGUUAUCUGUAAACUACAAUAUUCAACCACUUCAAUAAAUGGAACGCAUCAAAGACACAGAAGAGGUGCUGACACAUGACUGUCCAUCUCCUCCUCCUCCUCCUCCUCCUCCUCGUCUUCAUUGUCCUUCUCUUCCUCUUUACCUGACGUGGAGUCUGAUUGGUCUGCUGGCUCUGCUCUUCCUCUACAGCUUUUUGAUCACAGCUCUGUACAUCAGACUGAGGGUCAGACGCUGCACUGAGCUCAGCGACUCGGUGACCUACGUGCAGAUGCAGAGGAGCAGAGGACAUCCGGACAUCAACUCCACCUACGUGGAAAUGAAGACAGCUCCUCCGGGCGGGAGAGCAGGCCGAGGCCUCAGCAACCCCUCUGGCUAGCACAGCGGGCAGACCUGCUACUGUCCCUGGAGGCCCUUUGCAGACAUGAUGAAACUGCUUUUUAUUCAAAAUGGCAUAAUUUGUGUCAACAUCUCUCUCCAUUUGUCUCUUUACGCAAACGCCUGAUACACAAAACCACGCAAACACCAUUUCCUGCACAUAAACUGGCAUUUAUCCAACCUCCUACCUUCUGUGGACCACACAGGUGUUUCUGUAGUGGGACCUGAGGCCGAGGUGCCGAGGUGGACAUGAAAUACGGCACAGUUUGUUUAGGCUGAUAAGCAGAUGCACCGAGUUAUGAGAUUUGAUCAAAUGCCAUUGAACGGCACAUUUAAGGUAGCACUGAUCAAAUGGUAAAUGGACUGCAUUUCUAUAGCGCUUUUCUAGUCCACUGAACACUCCGAGCACUUUACAAUGUUUUUGCCUCACAUUCACCCAUUCACACACUGACGGCAGAGGCUGCCAUGCAAGGCGCCUAGCUGUCCAUCAGGAGCGGUGAGGGGUUCAGUAUCUUGCUCAAGGACACUUCGACACACUCUGGAGGAGCCGGGGAUCGGACUGGGGAUCGGACCGGGAACCCUCCGGUUUCCGGACGACCGCUCUACCUCCUGAGCCACGCCGCCGCCCACUUACUUUUGCAUGUUUUUUUUUUUUUUUUAAUCAUUCUUUUAAUUUACAAUAAGUGAGAGUCAACAUUUUAUUUAGCUGUUAAUAUUCUUUUUAUUUUAUUCGUAGUGCCGCUGGUUUAGAUAAGAGCUACAAACUGAUCACUGACCGUUUCCGAUCAGUCGUUCUUUUUUAUGUCCUGUUUGCUUAGUUGACAGAUGUAUAAUGACUGGUGGAGCAGACGGAGAGCUGGUGUGAGUCAUGAGUCAGUUUCAGGGACGGCCCUCAGGCUGUUUGAAGGGCCGGGCCGGAGAAAUAAAAAAGUCACCGUGUUGUCAGCGUGCAGAGAGCUGUGAUGCUUCAUGUACGAUCAAACAGUCUUCAUUUGUGACUAACAUUGUUUUAGGCGAUCCAGAUUAAAAGUAAAACCCUGAGAAAAUACACAGGGAAGUAAUAACCUUUCAGAUAUUUAUUCAUAAACACCUCCGACACAGACUUUUCAUUGAUGUACGAUUGCUAGAAGCCCUGAGUUUGAUGCAUGUGGCUCCUGGGUAGGAAACUGUGGACUCGAGCUCAUGAUCUGUGACGGACUCUCUUUACAUUACUGCUGUGUGUAAAUGUGUCCAUCAUUCCAGUUCAAAUGUUAUAAAACAUGAAAUCAUAUUGUUUUUUUUGUUUUGUUUUUUUGCAACAGUUACACACAUUUUUGUAGCUUUUAAAGAUAUAUAAUGUACAUACAGUUAAUUUAUCAUUUCUGCAUUUUCUUUAUUAUUAAACUUCAUCUUAUUUCUUA
ensembl:lncRNA